ACCAUAACUAUCUCAUUUUUAGCGACUUAACAAUUUUAGAGGAUUUAAUUAGUUGAAUUGGGAGAUGAAAAAAAGACUUGAUCAGUUAAUCUUAAUCCUCCCACUGACUUCACCAAGUUAGAUUAAAGAAGAUUAGACAUAAGCUGGUCCAGCCAACCAGUUAUAAAUUCUCCCACUGACUUCACCAAGUCAUGAAGAGGACUCAAGACAAGUUGAAUUAAGAGCACCU
rnacentral:lncRNA from 1 species